rnacentral:rRNA from 1 species
UACGGGGGGAGCAAGCGUUGUUCGGAUUUACUGGGCGUAAAGGGCGCGUAGGCGGUCGUGACAAGUCACUUGUGAAAUCUCCGGGCUUAACUCGGAACGGUCAAGUGAUACUGUCGGACUAGAGUACAGAAGGGGCAACUGGAAUUCUCGGUGUAGCGGUGAAAUGCGUAGAGAUUGGAAAGAACACCGAUGGCGAAGGCACUUUACUGGGCUAUUACUAACACUCAGAGACGAAAGCUAGGGUAGCAAAUAGGGGAUUAAGAU